rnacentral:rRNA from 1 species
UACAGAGGGUGCGAGCGUUAAUCGGAAUUACUGGGCGUAAAGCGUGCGUAGACGGUUAUGUAAGUCGGGUGUGAAAGCCCCGGGCUCAACCUGGGAAUUGCAUUCGAGACUGCGUAGCUAGGGUGCGGAAGAGGGAAGCGGAAUUUCCGGUGUAGCGGUGAAAUGCGUAGAUAUCGGGAGGAACACCUGUGGCGAAAGCGGCGCACUGGACCACAACUGACGCUGAGGCGCGAAAGCUAGGGGAGCGAACAGG